GGAGAAUGGAAGUGGUUGUCCAGAGCCCAGAUGUGCAAAAAUUAAAGAAAGAUGGCCUGCCCAGAUAAAUGAAGAAUUCCAAAGGUGUACUGGUGUUCCACAAGAAUCGGUUUUUAUGUCCCAGCUGGACAAAUACACUCCAAAACUUCUUGACCUGUUUAGUGCGAAGGGUGCAGCGACUGGUGAAAACAUCAAUUGGAGUUAUUGGAACUGAUACAUGAUUCAAGUAC